ACCAACGACGUCAUUGGAAUUGAUCGCGGUUUCUUUGAGAUCUGCAUCGCUGUUAACUUCUGGAUCGGGUCUUGAUCCAGAUUCCGGUUCCAAUUGUACUUGUUCUUGUGAUUCUGGUUGUUCCGGUUCGGUUUCUGGUUGAGGAUCAGGUUCGUGAUUCGAAUUGGAUUCAGGUUCGGGUGCUCCGUUCUGAGAUUGUGGUUCGGGUGAUGGUUGAGAUUCGUUUUGAGAUUCUGGUUCGGACAUUUUGAAGUGUUAGGGUUUUGGAGGAAGAAGUUUCGAUCGGAUCAGACUCGCAAACACAGUAGACGCGUGGAGGAAAU
rnacentral:lncRNA from 1 species